UACGUAGGGGGCAAGCGUUAUCCGGAUUUACUGGGUGUAAAGGGAGCGUAGACGGCAUUGCAAGUCCGGAGUGAAAGCCCACGGCCCAACCGUGGGACUGCUCUGGAAACUGUAGAGCUGGAGUGCGGGAGGGGCAGGCGGAAUUCCUAGUGUAGCGGUGAAAUGCGUAGAUAUUAGGAGGAACACCAGUGGCGAAGGCGGCUUACUGGACUGUAACUGACGUUGAGGCUCGAAAGCGUGGGGAGCAAACAGG
rnacentral:rRNA from 1 species